rnacentral:rRNA from 1 species
UAGGGCAAAACUGGUGAUUGGGGCUAAGUCGUAACAAGGUAGCCGUACCGGAAGGUGCGGCUGGAACACCUCCUUUCUGGAG